GAUGAACGCUGGCGGCGUGCCUAAUACAUGCAAGUCGAGCGAACAGACGAGGAGCUUGCUCCUCUGACGUUAGCGGCGGACGGGUGAGUAACACGUGGAUAACCUACCUAUAAGACUGGGAUAACUUCGGGAAACCGGAGCUAAUACCGGAUAAUAUAUUGAACCGCAUGGUUCAAUAGUGAAAGACGGUUUUGCUGUCACUUAUAGAUGGAUCCGCGCCGCAUUAGCUAGUUGGUAAGGUAACGGCUUACCAAGGCAACGAUGCGUAGCCGACCUGAGAGGGGGAUCGGCCACACUGGAACUGAGAAACGGUACAGACUCCUACAGGAGGCAGCAGUAGGGAAUCUUCCGCAAUGGGCGAAAGCCUGACGGAGCAACGCCGCGUGAGUGAUGAAGGUCUUCGGAUCGUAAAACUCUGUUAUUAGGGAAGAACAAAUGUGUAAGUAACUAUGCACGUCUUGACGGUACCUAAUCAGAAAGCCACGGCUAACUACGUG
rnacentral:rRNA from 1 species